UACGUAGGGUCCGAGCGUUGUCCGGAAUUAUUGGGCGUAAAGAGCUCGUAGGCGGUGUGUCACGUCGGCCGUGAAAACCUGCAGCUUAACUGUGGGCGUGCGGUCGAUACGGGCAUCACUGGAGUUCGGCAGGGGAGACUGGAAUUCCUGGUGUAGCGGUGAAAUGCGCAGAUAUCGUAAGGAACGCCAGUGGCGAAAGCGAAUCUCUGGGCAGCAACUGACGCUGAGGCACGAAGGCCAGGGGAGCAAACGGG
rnacentral:rRNA from 1 species